UACAGAGGUCUCAAGCGUUGUUCGAUUCAUUGGGCGUAAAGGGUGCGUAGGUGGCGCCGUAAGUCGGGUGUGAAAUUUCGGAGCUUAACUCCGAAACUGCAUUCGAUACUGCGGUGCUUGAGGACUGGAGAGGAGACUGGAAUUCAUGGUGUAGCAGUGAAAUGCGUAGAGAUCCGGAAGAACACCGGUGGCGAAGGCGGCCUGCUGGGACAUGGCUGACGCUGAGGCGCGACAGCG
rnacentral:rRNA from 1 species